CUGGCCAGUAUGGGCAGUGCUGGGCAUUGAACCCAGGACUUUGUGCGUGAAAGGUAAGUGCUCUACCAACAGAGCUAUUAUCACUGGCCUCCAGCUUCUGCUGCUUCCUUCUGAGCCUAGAAUUUUAUACUCCUAGGAAUGUGAAAGGUGUCAAUUCCAGCGUAGCGCUUUGGUGUUGAAUAGUAUUCACUCCCAUUCCAUCUUACAGUCUGCUCAAGGUACUGACCCUAAUUUCAGGCUCUUUGUCACAUGAAAGGGCCUGACUAUUCCUAACAAGGACACAUGGUCUAUGAAAGUAGCUCUGACUCGUGAACUUCUGAGUAAGUCUUCUUUGCUGUGCUCUUGGGCUUUUACGUCUUGAUCUUAAAGUCUUAACUCUCACCUGUCUAGUUUUCCUGGAGGAGUCUGAUCAAUAAGACUCAAAUGAGACACCAAUCUACUGCUCUUCCCAAGUCCCUGCUCAAGCCGCAAGUGUGCACAGGACUCUGGAGAUGCCACUAAACACAAGGCCUCAUUUCACAGGUCUAGAUCGCGUCCACACGUAUGCAAGUCUGGGUGCCUGGUAAUGCUGCAGAAGCUCUGAGAAGCAAAGCAGAAGCUUCCAAAGCGCAGCGCGCAGUGUGACGUGCGACUCAUACUUGUUUUAGUCUCGGGGCCUAGAAUCCCUGGCGUGCAAUAUGAAAGGGAGAUAAUGCUCCUUCCUGGGUGUGAACUUCUCCUGGGCAGACAUGAACAAACAUACUCAUUCUAGAUAGGGCACUGGCAGAUCGGAGAAACCAUUCCACAUGAGCCUGUGUUCCUUGGACCAGUGAGUUUAUCAUAGUUUCUUCCAGGACCGUGGGUGACUCAAAGGCAGAUACCUCACUGAACAGCCUACCCAGCACGGCUGAUGACUCCUAAAAGCUGCAUCCCUGCAUUUCCCCACAGGACUUGCAAGUAACUCAGAUGGUCAGAAAGACUCUUCUCGCUAGUAAUUAUUACAGCUUGUACAACCUUGGGAGGAACUCCGGGCAUCUUGUACACUUCAGGAGCUUCCUACAUCUAAGAAGUUUCAUUUCCCUCCUGAGUCUCCAGGAAGGACUGUUUCACUCGAGAGGAAGCGGCUGUGUAACAGAGGGGAAGUGGAAGAUGCACAGACAUCCAUUUCCCACAAAUGAAUAUGGCAUCCUCCUUGGCCGGUAUCAAGCAUGGGAAGGAAACAGCCGUGGCCCCAGUUUUCUUGUGGCUGCACAUAUUAUCUGAAAACAAGUCUGGUUUCCAGUUCACCCCUCAGUAGAUAUGACUCUCACUCCCUCACAGUAAGUAAUUCCAAGUCUGGAGAGAGGCUGCAGCUGUUUGGAUGGAUAAAGACAACAUCAGGUCAUUGACUCUUGCUGAUGUUUCAUGAGUAAGAAUCAGGUGGUUCUGAGAAGGUAUCCCUGCUCUGUGCUUGGUUUCCCUCUGCAGGAUGGACAACACUGGACCCACAGGUAAUGGAAGAACAAGAUGGAGGCAGCAGGAAGUCCCGGUCACCUCUUCCAGAACAGGAAGCUGCUUGAGAAUCCUGGGUUAGAUGGAACCUUUUACUGUGUUCUUCGCCUGAGAUGUCAGAGUUAAUUCACUGACAGAGCAAUUGACAUGGCUGUUUCAUAUAGUCACCACCAUUAAGACAAGAACCCCGGUGCAGCACUAGCUGUGGCUGCUGAGGGGUUAGUGCUGGCAUGCCUGUACAUGCAAAUUCCAGCAUCUGGAGUUGUCCCCAGAGGUCUUCUUCAAGCAUGCACCAUUACCGUACUUUUCAUGGGGUGUACUCUGGGCUUCUGGGUUCUUCCAGAAAGGCCUCAUCUUUUGUUACUAAAGCUUAUGCCUCUCGAAGGUCUCUACCACACAAGUGUGUUUACAUCUCAGGUAAUUAUACCCCCCGUGCACUGAGAUCACAGGGGUGUGGAAUGCCGAUGGACACUGGAAGCUUCCUUUGUGAGGCAGCCUGCCAUGCCACAGACUGAAGGUUAAAUCAUUCUGAACACGGCUUCCAGAACCUCUAUUCCAACAACCUAAAGGAAACGGAGAUUCUAGGAUCAGCUGACAUCAAAAGGUCUACGUCCUUCCCCAGCACACAUCCUCACCUUUCAGGGCUGUGUUGAGUUUAUGAUGAAUUUUUUCACUCCUACCAUGGGUAUCAUGACUGGCACAAGCAUUGUUGGGGAGCCGGGGUGAGGGGUGAAUAGUGUUUUUCUCUAAAAGGACAUCACUUCAGGGAAGGAGCUAUGACACUCUCCCUCUCCCAAAGCAAUCUGUCUUCUUCUUUAGCCAGUGACUCUCCUGGGGAUUGUCUCUCUGGUCCCCAUGUCCUUGUCUCAGGCCCUUCCUUCAUUUGGUGGCAUUCAAAACUCUGCCACCGAAAGGCAUCAGUGACUGUAUCCCCCGAAGAAUCUCAGCACCAGACCCUCUAGCUCAGCGUUUCUCACCCUGUGGGUUGCUGCUCCUUUGGGGAUUGAAUGAGCCUUUCACAGGGGUCACAUAUCAGAUAUCCUGCUUAUCAGAUAUUUACAUUGUGAUUCAUGACAGCAGCAGAAUUGCAGUUAUGAAGUAGCGAUGGAAUAAUUUUAUGGUUAGGGGUCACCACAGCAUGGGGAACUGUAUUAAAGGAUCGCAGGAUUAGAAAGGCUGAGAACCAUUGUUCUGGCUCUUCCUAAUGUCACUCUUACCAAAUAGGACCAGUGGUCCCAGGAUAGCUGAGCCUCCCUCAUCCCACUGAUGUAGUGUCCACCACAUGCACAUGCCAUGUUGCUUCUGGGCCCACGGUCCCUAUAGCUGUUGUUGGCACGUGUGUGGGCUUGCUUCUCUUCUCCUGCAGCCUCUAAUUAUCAUGACAGUUAUUGAUAUCAAUGCUGGCCACCGUGCGGCUGUAUUGGAGGUGGGAAAGCUAGGGGCACAGCAUGAGGCAAGGAGGUAGAGUGGAGAAAUUCAGGUUCCUGAAGGCCCUAGCUUCUGGACCAUUCUGGAAGAAAUAGAGAAAUAGAGGGCUUUUGUGAAACUGGUGCAUCUCCUCACAGCGGGUGCUGGUGUGUGAGGAUGGCUGAGGUCUGUCGGGAUGCUCGGAAGGUUGUGUUUGUUUGUUUGUUCAUUUGUUUAUAAUGGAUUUCUAGACCAGACUAGCCUUGACCUCCCUAUGUAGCUGAAGAUGAUAUUGAAAUCCCAAUCCCCCGCCUCUACCUCCUGAAUGCUGGAAUUACAAGCGUGCACCAGCUGGUUUAUGUGUUCCUGGGGAUCGAAACCAGGGCUUCAGGCUUCCUAAGAAACAUUGUACCAAAGGAGCUACAGCCUCAGUCCCUGAGCUCUGUUUGAAGAGUCUUACUCUCAGGUGUAGGAGGGAGCUGUGGCCCUUUGAAGUCAGUUCUUUCCCUGAGUGUAGCAGCUACCUCUCCCUGUGCAGCCCCCAGGAUGGUGGUGGGUUUCCUCCAAUGCACUGGAGGAAAAGAUGUCCUGUGGGACUUGGACACACUUUGGGGGCGCAUCAUUGCCCUGUAGGCAUGAAACUAGCACAGGGUAUGGCACUCUAUGCCAGCUGUAGCCUUCGAUUCCUGCAGACAUUGAUCAGAAGUCAGGGGGCUAAUAGCCAUGUUCCCUGGAAGGUGCUGUUGAUUUCAAAAUGGAACCCUGGGGAGGCAGGGCUGGGGAUGCCGACAGUCUCCGCCCCGCCUGAGCCAGCUCUGUGUUACAGAGCAUCACAGCUUCAGCAUCAUGGAGGUGACAGGAAGGUCCCCUGGACAGAAUAAAUACUACAUGGUGGAACCAACUCACAACCAGCUUGUCCAGAGUAAAGCUGUCCCUGUGUGAGUAGAAUCCAGCAGUUUCUGUGUUGAUGCCUAGGGCUACUAGUCUACUUGGGCUGCUAUCACAAAAAUGCCAUGGGCUAAAGUGACACCCCCUCCCUUUACUUCCUUGAAGGCUGGUAAGUCCCCAAAUUUCUGUAUGGUGAGGCCUUUCUCUCUGGCUUCUUACUGUGGCUCAUGUGAAGAAAGAGGGAGCUUUGGCCUCCUUUCCUUUUUUUUUUUUUUUUUUUAUGGAGAUCCUAGGACCACCAUGGAGAUCCCCUUCCAUGACAUUAUCUAAAUCUAAUCUCAUCCUAUAGGACCCACCUCUGGACGUCAUCACAUCGUAGCUUAGAGCUUCAACAUGUGAUGGUGUGAUAGACACACCCAGUCCUUAUAUUACUCCGUCUGUACAAUCUACUGUUUGAGCUUCCUAGGUGUGUCCACAGAGCGCAUCAGAGGACCUGGAGACUCCACUUAAAGCUGUGGGCUCUGAUUCCUGCCGCACACAUUUGUCUGCUGGGGAAGGACUCUUCCUCUACAUGGGUCUUUCCAGAUGGUUUCUUUGUCCAUCACAUGGAAUCAUAGUGGAUCACAGGAGAGGAAACAGAACAACAAAGCACACAAUGACCACCAGAGGCCAUGGAGGAAUAAGAACAGUUUGCCGCUCAGGAUGCGAGGCUAAGCACUGCACUCAGGGUCAGCCGCUUUGGACCCAGAGAAGAGCAUGUCUGAUUGCAUGCGGGUUGAUGCCCCAGGUCCCGCCUCUGAGAAAAAGGUA